rnacentral:rRNA from 1 species
AAGUUGACCGCCUGGGGAGUACGGCCGCAAGGCUAAAACUCAAAUGAAUUGACGGGGGCCCGCACAAGCGGUGGAGCAUGUGGUUUAAUUCGAUGCAACGCGAAGAACCUUACCUACCCUUGACAUCCAGAGAAUCUGUUAGAGAUAGUUGAGUGCCUUCGGGAACUCCGAGACAGGUGCUGCAUGGCUGUCGUCAGCUCGUGUUGUGAAAUGUUGGGUUAAGUCCCGUAACGAGCGCAACCCUUAUCCUUAGUUGCCAGCACGUAAUGGUGGGAACUCUAGGGAGACUGCCGGUGAUAAACCGGAGGAAGGUGGGGACGACGUCAAGUCAUCAUGGCCCUUAUGGGUAGGGCUACACACGUGCUACAAUGGCCAGUACAGAGGGCUGCAAACUUGCGAGAGUAAGCAAAUCCCAGAAAGCUGGUCUUAGUCCGGAUUGGAGUCUGCAACUCGACUCCAUGAAGUUGGAAUCGCUAGUAAUCGCGAAUCAGAACGUCGCGGUGAAUACGUUCCCGGGCCUUGUACACACCGCCCGUCACACCAUGGGAGUGGGUUGCAAAAGAAGUGGGUAGACUAACCUUCGGGAGGUCGCUCACCACUUUGUGGUUCAUGACUGGGGUGAAGUCGUAACAAGGUA